AAAGCGUGCGCAGGCGGUUAUGUAAGACAGAUGUGAAAUCCCCGGGCUCAACCUGGGAACUGCAUUUGUGACUGCAUGGCUAGAGUACGGUAGAGGGGGAUGGAAUUCCGCGUGUAGCAGUGAAAUGCGUAGAUAUGCGGAGGAACACCGAUGGCGAAGGCAAUCCCCUGGACCUGUACUGAGGCUCAUGCACGAAAGCGUGGGGAGCAAACAGGAUUAGAUACCCUUGU
rnacentral:rRNA from 1 species